GAGUUCAAACAAAAAUCCGACCGGAAUCAUUGCGACGCCGUUUUUGUACUCCUUAGAAAAGGCCCAGUCCAAGUGCGACAGGGCCGGAACGCCGCGACUCGUCGGUGAACACGAACAAGGCGUUGACGGAGACGCCAUUUUCCGACCUGUACUCACUAAUCUCCGGCGAGAUCCUGGAGGCUCUCUUACAAUCGUUGUUCGACUUCUGCAAUCCGUUUCAGGCCGCGACUAUCACCUUGCUCUGCAGUAACAAGGAUGUCGCCGUCGACGCGCCGCCGACUCCGGGAUAACCCUAGCUUUCCUCGUCCCUCCCCUUGAAAUCAUCUGCUGCUGCUCCUCCUCCUACCCUUCCAAACCUCGCCAGAUAAGAUCGGCGGCACAAAAGGACUGAGAGCAGUGAUGGAGAAAAAGGUCUAAAAGAAUUUGUUUCUUGCAUCCGUGCCUAUAAAGAUCAUCACUGCUCUUACAUUUUCAGAUGGAAAGAACUUGAGAUUGGAAAGUUGGAAAUGGGAUAUGUGGGCUUUUGCAGCAUCCUUCAAUGUCUGAAAUGAAAAAUUCACAAACUUUCCACUGAGGGUUUCACCCACCAUUCUGAAAGGCGUCGACUUUGAGGACAUAAGAUACAAGUAUGCCUCAUCCAGAAACUCUUUAUUAACAUUUUCAUUAUUAUGCUCUCUUGAGACAGAGGAGAGGUAUAUAAUUUAACACUGGUUCUGUUGUUAAAGAGAACCUCUCUCUCUCUCUCUCUCAGCAUGUAAAAAGCAAUGUUUCUUCCUUUUCCCCUUCCCUAAACAUGUGAAAUUGGUGUAGCUCUCAUAAAGUUUUCUUUCUGCGUACACAAUGAGAAGAGCAUCUCUCUCUCUCUCUCUCUCAAAGAACAAAAAAUCUCGAAGCCAUAGACUUCUACCUCUGUCAGCAUGUACAAGCAAGGUUUCUUCUUUUUCUUAUUCCCUAAACAUGUGAAAUUGGAGUAGUUCUCUUAAAUUUUCUUUCUG